UUUAUGCGGCAGCAUAGGACUGAAUCGUGGGAGGGCCUUUAUGAUUCUACCCCUUUCCGUUUUUAUGCUGCUUUGGAG
rnacentral:pre_miRNA from 1 species